rnacentral:rRNA from 1 species
AUUGAACGCUGGCGGCAGGCCUAACACAUGCAAGUCGAACGGUAACAGGAAUCAGCUUGCUGAUUUGCUGACGAGUGGCGGACGGGUGAGUAAUGUCUGGGAAACUGCCUGAUGGAGGGGGAUAACUACUGGAAACGGUAGCUAAUACCGCAUAACGUCGCAAGACCAAAGAGGGGGACCUUCGGGCCUCUUGCCAUCGGAUGUGCCCAGAUGGGAUUAGCUAGUAGGUGGGGUAAAGGCUCACCUAGGCGACGAUCCCUAGCUGGUCUGAGAGGAUGACCAGCCACACUGGGACUGAGACACGGUCCAGACUCCUACGGGAGGCAGCAGUGGGGAAUAUUGCACAAUGGGCGCAAGCCUGAUGCAGCCAUGCCGCGUGUAUGAAGAAGGCCUUCGGGUUGUAAAGUACUUUCAGCGGGGAGGAAGGGAGUAAAGUUAAUACCUUUGCUCAUUGACGUUACCCGCAGAAGAAGCACCGGCUAACUCCGUG